UUCUUGACUGAGUGUUCUUACAGUAAAUUAGUAGAAUAAGGUAUUUAUUUGUGACUUAUUUGACAAUACUUGUAUUAUACAUUCUAUUAUAAUUCUAUCAUUAGUAUAUAUAUAUUUUGGGGUAGGUGGUCAUCUCAUCUUGGAGAAAGAAAAUUUGGAUAUAAAAUCACUUUAAUGUGGUAUGGCUAAGUGCAAAAAUAGUUGAGAAUAGAAAAACAAAAAAAAUUUCUUCUGAAAUUUGUCAAAAGGGUGUUGUGUAAUGCUUGAUUUUAAGAGCAGUUAAGAGGAGCUGAUUGCUUUUUUUAGUAAGCUCAAGUUAUUUUCUCAUACAUAAAUUAGGAUUUUCGAUUUAUUUCAGUCUAUUUUAUAUUUCUCUAUAUCUAUAUAUAUAUUUUCUCUAAGGAUAAAUAAUAAGGAAUAGAAAGUUGAGAAUAUUUCUUCUGCAAUUUGCCAAAAGACAAAUGCAGAAGAAAUUUUCUAAGCUUCAUUUUAAGGUAUGUAAAUAUGUAUUUAUUAGAAGUUUUUAAUUUUGUUCUUAAAUAG